rnacentral:lncRNA from 1 species
UCUACUCAUCAGCCUCUCCGAAAAACUAGAGUUACUAUUCACUUUAAGUGAUUAGUAUUUAUCGCGUAACUUCUCCAUUCAAACUCGUUUUCUUCUGAAACUUGAUGAGUGCUUAUGUAAUUAAAUUACACAUAAAAAUAUCGUCAAUAGGGAGUUUAGCUACACUGCCAAAAAUUCAGUCCUUACAGAAGAAUAUAUGUCUCAAAUUUCUAACUUCUUAGAAAUUUAAUUCUUCUACUAUUAAUUCUAUGGACAAUUCAUAAAUAUGCAUUUGA